rnacentral:rRNA from 1 species
UACGAAGGGGGCUAGCGUUGCUCGGAAUCACUGGGCGUAAAGGGUGCGUAGGCGGGUCUUUAAGUCAGGGUGAAAUCCUGGAGCUCAACUCCAGAACUGCCUUUGAUACUGAAGAUCUUGAGUUCGGGAGAGGUGAGUGGAACUGCGAGUGUAGAGGUGAAAUUCGUAGAUAUUCGCAAGAACACCAGUGGCGAAGGCGGCUCACUGGCCCGAU